GAUGAACGCUGGCGGCGUGCCUAACACAUGCAAGUCGAACGGACAUUUUUUGGAAAGCUCUUCGGAACUGGAAUCUAAAUGUUAGUGGCGGACGGGUGAGUAACGCGUGAGCAAUCUGCCUUUCAGAGGGGGAUAACAGCCGGAAACGGCUGCUAAUACCGCAUAAGCCCACGGCCCGGCAUCGGGUUGAGGGAAAAGGAUUUAUUCGCUUCAGGAUGGACUCGCGUCCAAUUAGCUAGUUGGUGAGGUAACGGCCCACCAAGGCGACGAUUGGUAGCCGGACUGAGAGGUUGAACGGCCACAUUGGGACUGAGACACGGCCCAG
rnacentral:rRNA from 1 species